CCUACCUAGUCCCUCAUUCCAUUUCCACCCCCCAUCCAGCUGUGUGAAGAGUGGGCCCGCCCAUCCUGGAGCACCCCCUGUGGUGGGAAGCCGUGAGCCAGCCUCACUUACUCUUUCAUGUCUCCUUGAGGCAGAGGGGACAUGGCCGGUGGCUGGAGAAGCUUCACUUCUCCUUUAAUGGUGGCCCUCUUGAUCCCCGGCUUGCUGAAGUCGAGCUGAGUGUCAGUCAUCCGUUCCAGGCUGUGCUCCGAGGCCUGGAUGAGUUUGUCUGCCCAGAAGAGGUGCUUAGAGGUCUGCACACAGAUAGAGCGAUGGUUGGUGGACACCUGGUCCUCCUCUGCUGAACUCAGCAGAAUUCACAGGUGAAGUGUGUGAACCUGAGCCUGGAGUUUCCUUGUCCAUUUCAUCUAAGUUGUUUGGCUAGAGAUGUCAAUUCUGUUGAUCUUCUUGAACCAGACAGAGAUAUGUCUGUUUCCUGCCUGAUCAUACUAAAGUGACAUCUGCCAGGGAAUCAGUCCUGCAGUUCCCAAUCAGCUUUUUAUGAUUUCACUCUUAAACAUGAACAGCCAAGCAUCACCAGACAUUUGAGGAAACUUCCCACAUGCAAUUGACAGAUUAAGAGAAAAGAUGACUCUAGAUUACCAGAGGUUAUUUGGGAAACAGAAAGGAGCUUUAAAAAUACCUAAACCCUUAAGUGAUUCUGGGAUAUAGAUAUUCAACUAUAGAUAUUGCAUCCAAAAAGCAAGAACAGGAUGCUCUUAAAAAAUUAGGAGAAAGAAAGAGCUUUUGGCAAAAAGACUUGGAAAAUAAAACAGAAAAUCUUCCCAGAAAGUAGAACCAAAGUAUCAAGACUAUGUGAGAGAAAAUGAUCAAGAGGCAGUACGGUUCUGAGUUAUAGAAAGGAAAUCCAGAAAGAAUAGAGAACAUAGAAAAGGAAAGAGACAUCAAAAUUUUCAUGAACUGAAUGAUGUCAUUGGCUUAAAAGGGUUCACUGAACACUCAGCAUUAUAGAUGUCAAAAGAUCCUUGCUGUGAAAGUUCAUUUGCACCAGGAACAAAGAAUUCUUAAAUGCUUCUAGAGUAGAAAAACCAGUCACCUACAAGGGGAGAGGAAUCAAUUAUACUGACAGCAGAGUUAGCAACAAUGGCUGCCUUAAAAAUUUUGAGGAAAAUGUUUUUUAAAGUAUAGGUUUAUAUCCAGCCAAACUAUCAUUUCAGACAUGGAAUGACUUACGAAAUUUACUUCCUCUUUUUUUUUUUUAAGGAAGUUAUUUGAGGAUGUGCUAAAAACAAAAUAAAAGGUGUGAAACAAGAGAGCCAAGAAGGAAAUAGUGGUCCACCCACUAUUAGGAAAGCGGCUAAGUCCUAGGAUGUUAACUGUAGAAUGGCAAGAUGAUGAAGGGUUCUGGGUAGUAGAUUUCUGAAAUAAAGAAAACUUGACAGAAUAGUUAACUAGAUGAAAACUAAGACUGAUAAAACCAAAGAAUAUAAGGAAAAGGCAACCAGAAACUCCAGGAAAAAUGAAAAGCUGUCUGAGAAAGAAAAAGUAACUGUGGUACCUUUAUUGGUUGUGCAGUCAACAGUAGUUAUGUAGUCACAACAAUUCAGGGUUUCAACUUUCAGAAUCAACAUAUAAAUAAAAAUUGAAAAACAUAGUUGUGGUUAUAGGACAAUGUAAGUGUUACCAACCUUGAUAAAAAUACAGGUUAGAGUUGCUGGGAGGUGGGAGGGCAGGAGGAAAGCUGAAGGGAAAGGUAGGGGCACUAAAAACUUCAUCUUACUAUGUGUGGUAUCAAAAGAUAUUGUCUAAAGUGAUGAAAAAUAAAGAUAUAAGUAUAUUAAACUUACAAAAGCAUCAGCAGACUAAAAAUGAUGUUGGGAGGAUGGGGAAGGGUGGAUCCAUUAGAGCAGGAAGGUGAUAAUGUCUAGAACUGAUAAACCAAGAAAGAUAGCUUGUAGAAAGAUAAGAAGGUAAUUAGAAAAACAGUUCAAAUGAAACAAUUGUGGUUGUUCUGAGGAGUGAGACUGGGGGUGUGCUAUAGAGGAUACUUGCUUUUCAUCACCGAGUAAACUCUUCAGUGCUAUUUAAUCACAUGCAUAAAUUUCUUUGAUAAAAUUAAAUGUUGAGCCCUUGAAUAAGGGCCAUGCACUGUUCUAGGGGACACAGUGAUGAACACACACAGCCUCUGCCCUCUUGGGGCUUCCAAGCCUGUGGCUGGGACCACAGAAGCUCCUCCAAUCUCUAUUUAUUAUUCCCACUUCUCCUAAGCUCUAGACUCAAACUCCAGUCACCAACUGCACAUCUCUCCCUAAAGGUAUCUCUCGCUGGUUAGGGCCUUAGAUGUCUCCUAUCUCUGAAAUGUUCCUUGCUUUCUGUUGUGAUGAUGCUCAGGGCUUUGCUUUCUGGAGACCUUCAGAGCUCCAACCCUUGCGUCUAUCUCCUCCAGUUGCCUCCACCCACUCCCUGCAGACCUCUGAGCACAGGACCUCUUGCUGACCCUUAUUAGAGCUGGGCAGACUGUGUGGGCUGCCCAUUUUGAAUCUCUGAUCUGCUACACACAGAGUCUGCAAGGUGGAUGCUCAGCAAAAGUCUGUGCAAAGAAAUGAAUUCUUCAUCCUUCUCACCCUGCCAGACCAUGUGGCUUGUCCUCUAUUUUUCACCUCAAGUUCACACUCUUAUAUGUCCAGAUUCGAGUGUGGCCCGCAUGAUUUGUAUGCCUGACCCAUCUUCCUUUCUAAUCACUCAGAUCUUGAUCACCCCCUCUUCCCCUGAUAAUCCUUUAUGCUAACACCCAAAUUAGAAACCUGGGUUGUGACCCCCCUCACAUCUCCAGCUUGACUUCCCCUACCUCUGAUGUUGACCUUUUGUACAGGUCCCUUUCUCCAUCCCUACUGCUUCUCCUCACCUCCCAACACCAAAGUCAACACAAACCUAGGACUGACUACCUUCUGGCUGAGUGCUUCCCAUUUUGCCUCCUCUUAGCCACUCUGUGCCCAUGUGGUCAUGACUCUGCUCUCACAGAUGAAACUGCACAGGUCACACAUCUGGUAAGAGCAGUGCCUUGACCCGAAGAACCCAGGUCUGACUGGCCACUGUGUUCUUUGAAAUCUCUUUAGGCUUCUAGCUGGACCACUGCAACCAUAUUUCCCUCCAAUUUGGGCUUAAUGACCUCAGAGUGAGCCUGCUGUAUCACACCAGCCUCUGGUCACAUCCAGGCUAUAGAGUGGCUUCAAAGAUCCUGUGUGGUCUGCCCUCUGCCCUCUGGUUGCAUCUCCUGGUAGCCCGCUCCUUCCUUGCCCCGAGUGCAAGCUCCCCCAAAGCAGCUUUUGUGCCUAAGUGCCUUUGCACCUAUUUCAGACACUCAGAAAGUCUUACAUCUGGCAAAAUCCUACUCAUCCCUGACAGGCCAACUCACCUCCCCGGUGUCAUCUUCUGUGUGACACACCUAGCCGUCCUACCCACAUUUUAAUUUUUAGUUAACUCAUCAGACUCAGGGCCUAACACAAGACUAAGAGCUGAAGGGGGUGCAAUAAAUGUCACAGGAGUGAUUUAAGGUGUCUGCAUAAAUUUGUCACCCCACGAGUUUGGGAAAGGGAAAAGCUGCUCUCUGGUUGUUGGUUCUUGGCACAUUUUUAAUGUUGGCCCAUGUCCUGGGAGAGAAGGUCCCAAGAAGAAAGCCCCCAUUUCAGUGGAGACCUAAAGGGCACACAGCUUUUUGCUCAUUGCUAGAGAAGAGUGCAAAGGCCAAAGGAGGCCAGUAUUUGUGGAAGCCAACUGCUUCUCUCUGCAAAGCCUCCAAUCGUCAGCCAGGAACAACUGAAUGUGAUUUGGGGGUUAUGAGCGGUU